rnacentral:SRP_RNA from 1 species
GCCAGGCGUGGUGGCGUGCGCCUGUAGUCCCAGCUACUCGGGAGGCUGAGGUGGGAGGAUGGCUUGAGUCCAGGAGUUCUGGGCUGCAGUGCGCUAUGCCGAUUGGGUGUCCGCACUAAGAUCAGCAUCAAUAUGGUGACCUCCCGGGAGUGCGGGACCACCAGGUUGCCUAAGGAGGGGUGAACCGGCCCAGGUCGGAAACGGAGCAGGUCAAAACUCCCGUGCUGAUCAGUAGUGGGAUCGCGCCUGUGAAUAGCCACUGCACUCCAGCCUGGGCAAUGUAGUGAGACCCUGUCUCUU